rnacentral:rRNA from 1 species
GAUGAACGCUGGCGGCGUGCCUAAUACAUGCAAGUCGAGCGAACAGACGAGGAGCUUGCUCCCCUGACGUUAGCGGCGGACGGGUGAGUAACACGUGGAUAACCUACCUAUAAGACUGGGAUAACUUCGGGAAACCGGAGCUAAUACCGGAUAAUAUAUUGAACCGCAUGGUUCAAUAGUGAAAGACGGUUUUGCUGUCACUUAUAGAUGGAUCCGCGCCGCAUUAGCUAGUUGGUAAGGUAACGGCUUACCAAGGCAACGAUGCGUAGCCGACCUGAGAGGGUGAUCGGCCACACUGGAACUGAGACACGGUCCAGACUCCUACGGGAGGCAGCAGUAGGGAAUCUUCCGCAAUGGGCGAAAGCCUGACGGAGCAACGCCGCGUGAGUGAUGAAGGUCUUCGGAUCGUAAAACUCUGUUAUUAGGGAAGAACAAAUGUGUAAGUAACUAUGCACGUCUUGACGGUACCUGAUCAGAAAGCCACGGCUAACUACGUG